UCCCAGUGCUUGUGCGGCUGUGCCUCCCAACGUGCUCCUCCUGCUGUGCUAUUGAUUAUUGAACCCUCCCUCCUCCAUAUCUCGCUCCUCUCUUUUCUCACGUCUUAUCUUAAAAUAUAUUUUCUAUUGAUAACCAAAGCUGUUAUUAUCGUCCUCUCUGACACGCCAUUUCACUUUCCUCCAGGCUCCCUCUACUCUUUCCCGGUGCUUUGAGGGACCAUGAUGUAGCAAGCAGAUGAAAUAGAUUCUUUCCCGGCUUUCCUCAGCAGUUGUGUCAAGACUGUCCUCUUCCAUCCUCUUCCACGGUUUCGCCCCCCAUUUUUUUUUAAUUUCUAAUUAAAGCUUUCAGAAUAUUAAAUUUCUGGGUCUCCCUCUGUCUCUCUCUCGCUAAAUCACAUGCAAAGUUAAAGAGGCGAGCACAAUGGUAUAAAAACAGGUCUCAACAUCUUUACCGUCGAUGUUCUUUGAUCCAUCUGGGUCUUCGUUUCGUCAUCUAUUUUAGCAGAUUAGCCGUAAAUGCAGCUUAGAUUUACCUAAUUUGUUUGAUGGGGAAGAGGGGAGGUAGCUCAUGGUUGACUGCUGUCAAAAGAGCUUUUAGAUCUCCUACUAAAGAGGAUGAAGAUAAGAAAAGAGAGAAGCGAAGGUGGAUAUUCAGGAAGCCCACAAACCAAGAAACUGUGACGCAGCAAACACCACCAAAGGCCACGCCUCCUCCUGCCGCCGGCUUUGAUGGCUCCGCUUCUGCUUCUACGAACAAUGAGCCGUCAACGAAAGCGGAUGUGGAGCGAAAGCAUGCGCUUGCGGUGGCGGUGGCCACUGCCGAGGCGGCAAUGGCAACUGCGCAGGCGGCGGUGGAGGUGGCUCGGCUUACCAGGCCUGCCAAUUAUGCUAGAGAAGUCUAUGCAGCUAUUGUAAUUCAGACUGCUUUUAGAGGGUAUUUGGCGAGGAGAGCACUGCGUGCGCUUAAAGGGCUAGUGAAGUUGCAAGCUUUAGUGAGAGGUCAUAAUGUUAGAAAGCAAGCGAAGAUGACCCUCAGAUGCAUGCAAGCCUUGGUUCGGGUACAGGCCAGGGUACUUGACCAACGCGUGAGGCACUCUCAUGAAGGCAGCAGAAAAUCCGCUUUUAGUGACACAAAUAGCGUUUGGGAGUCGCGGUAUCUUCAAGACAUUUUAGACAGGAAAUCAAUGUCAAGGGAAGGAAGUAGCAUUGCAGAUGAUUGGGAUGAACGUCCGCACACUGUGGAAGAAGUGAAAGCUAUGUUGCAGCAUAGAAAAGAAGCUACAAUGAAGCGUGAAAAGACCCUGUCUCACGCCUUCUCUCAACAGAUUUGGAGAACUGGAAGGAGCCCGUCGAUUGGCAAUGAAGAGGAGAUUGAGGAGAGACCCAAAUGGCUCGACCGUUGGAUGGCCACGAAGCCAUGGGACACUAGGGGAAGAGCCUCAACUGAUCAGAGAGACGCCAUCAAAACCGUGGAGAUGGAUACCUCCCAGCCUUACUCAUGUCUGGCUUCUAAUUUCCGGAGACAAACUCAAAAUCAAAAUCAUUAUCAGCAACAGCAACAGCAGCAACAAAGACCCAGUUCCCCUCUCCACAGAAGCCACCAAAACGUACACACUCACCAAUCCCCUAUUACUCCUUCACCAUCGAAAACCCGGCCUAUACAAGUCAGGUCGGCCAGCCCUCGUUGCUCCAGAGAAGAUAGAACCUUCCAUACAUCACAAACACCAAGCUUGAGGUCCAACUACUGUUACAAUGGUAGUGUGCAACAAUAUGGGAGGGGCGGUGGGCCUAGUACUAGCAGCAGUAGUGGUGCUGCAUUGCCAAAUUACAUGGCUGCAACAGAGUCUGCCAAGGCACGGGUGCGAUCUCAAAGUGCACCAAGGCAGAGGUCCUUAACGCCGGAGAGGGAGCGUGUUGGGCCGGCCAAGAAACGGCUUUCUUUUCCGGUGCCAGACCCUUUAGGUAUGGGAGUUGGGUACGGAGGUCUUGGGCAGAAUUUGAGGAGCCCAAGCUUUAAGAGUGUCAGUGGAGCACAUUUUGGGUUGGAGCAACGGUCCAACUAUUCAUCUUGCUGCACUGAUAGCCUUGGUGGUGGUGAGAUUUCUCCAUCUUCAACCAGUGACCUCAGAAGAUGGUUGAGAUGAUUAAUGGAUCAUGAUCGAUGGAAGAUAUUGAUUUUAGGCUAUGACUGAUAACUUGCAAGACUUUCUCAUCGAAUUCUCUUAGCAUAGGCUCCAGAAACUUCAUCGUUUUCACUUUAAUUUGAAAGUACGAGAGAUUUGGUUGUAUAAAAACAUAAGAGUAAAGAGAUCCGGAUGAAGCUGGAUCUCAAGUAGUAAGUGCUAAAAAGAACCACAAAUGGCCCCAACCAGGAGAGCAAUCCUGCACUUCGGUUAACAAUUAAGUAUUUUUGCACUUGCAAGCAGAUGUCAAAUCUUUCCCCCUCAUCUUUUGUUUUCUGUCAUCGCUAUUUAUGUACACUUUAAUAUUUUAAAAAUGCAGCCGCAUGACAGAUUGGAAACAGAAAUGCGCACUGAUUCGCAUGUCUUUUCUUCACAGAAAUUCAUGUUCGUGAAAUUGAUUAUCACCUCGGAUGCCCCUUUUCUUCGGACAACGUAGUCUGAGUGUUAAAAGCGACUUCUGGCAUUGGCUGGCCCCCCUGAAGAGUGGAAUUAUAACUCACAUAACAUCCAUUGGAAAUUGAGAAAUUUCACGAUGGCCUGGAAAUUGUUGUUGUAUCCGCUUUUCCAAUUCCAAUCAAAUGAUCAGAAUUACAGAAACAAAGAGACAAAAAAAAAAUCAUUCGCAUUCGUAACCUCAGUCAAGUUCAUAAAGUCUUUCAGAGCUGGUAGUGGUAGUACAAGCAUGCAGUGAAAAUGGCGCCAGAAGUAAAAUUUCAUGUUGGUAAGUUAGGUAAAAGACACGAGAAUUUAAUGGUAGAAGCGGUAAUAAGAA